ensembl:lncRNA
CCCGUCCCCCGGCGAGGAGCGAGUGCCGCGCCGCUCCGCCUUCUCCUUUUCGCAAUGUUGACGCAAUCUAUAAAUAGUGGAACAAAAGGAGCAACUUCCUCGCAGCUUUGCUGAAACUGCACAAAAAAGGCAACCGGGGGGGUGGGGGGGGGGCGUUAUUUUGAUUUGAUUUUUUGCCACCGCUUUCAAAAGCGAAGCCUCCUUCCCUCCCUUUCCCCCCCCCCUCCCCCCCCCCCCCCCCCGCCCCCCUCCCCGCCUCUCUCUCUCGCUACUGGAAGAUUACAGAUCCGUGCGCGAUUAUUUUUUGAUUCCUCGUUGUCUGCUGCGCUGGCACCGUCCUGCGAGCGGCGAAGCGGCUCGGCGCCGGGCUUCCCCCGCUGACAUAGGCCACAGAAGCAAUAGAAAGUGUGGAUUCCCUCCUUUCUGAUUUAUCAGCCACUUGUGCUAUGGUGUGCUCAGAACAGAACGGGUUCCUACUGUGCCUGCUGGUGUACACACGAAGUUAAAGAGACAGAGCCCUGGCAGAGAGGUUUGCUUUAAUUUGCUCAACACCUGAGGUGUUAAAAGUAAAGCCAAACAGGAGAAGCUUUUUGCUUUUUUUUUUUUUUUUUUUGAGGUGAAGCACUGGCUGUUCAAGUGCAGGUUUACCAGCGCCAGGAGGCAGAGCGUGGGAGGAUGCCACAGAGGGCCCCAGGUCCUCCAUCCCCUCCUGUUCCCCUACCUUGAGUUCCAGCUGCACUCACCCAGGCCCAUAGACUGGCAGUUGGAGAGAGUUUAAACGAACCAGGGAACUGAAUAUUACGGAUGAAAUCCAUAUGCUGAUGGCUACCCUGUAAUGAAGGCUCAUAUACAAGAUUGCCUUCAGAACAUUUUUGUACUUGAACACCAGAAAGGAAAUACACCAUCAUAAAAAAAGGGCAUGGAGUUUAUAAAGCCAUUAGCGUUACACAGGUAAAACACCUACACAUAAUUUUUGCUCUCUUGGAUAUAAAAAUAGGAAUCAUAGCAAUGCCUGUACCCAUAGAUACAAGCAAAAAACUUCCUCUUCAAUACAAGUAUAUUUAUAGUUAUUUUGGGUGAAUCCACUGACAAAGGGUAUGGAUAAUUAUUACCGAUUAAGCACAGGGUACUUAGUUAAAAUAAAAUAUACAGUUCUUGCCUAAGAAGCCUAUAAUUAAUCAGCAUGUGUGAUCAAAUUGCCACUCAUAACGUCAGAUCAGUUUAGUUUAAUUUAACCAAGUUACUUUGACAUGAGCAUAAGUAUAUAUUUAUUAACAUUUCAACGUUCAACUCAGCAAGACAAUUAUGUUAGUAAAUCUGCUUGCAGUAGCUACACAAAUAUUGGAGGCAUAAACGGUUUUUAUAGAUCUAUAAAUUUGGAAAAUUUUAUGGGUGAAGAUAGAGAGCAGCUCAGAAACACACUCUUCUGAAAGCAAAGGAAAUAAACAAAUGAAAACUCCCUACCUAACAGCAGUGCUGAAGGACUCCAGGUUCACGUGGUGAAUUAUCCAAGAAUAAUGAUAUCCUUAAUGGAUAUAUUGUAUGGAUUUUCUAAAAAGAACCGGAGUCACACAUAAAUCACACCUCUUGAUUAACCCUUUUAUCAUUAUUAGUCUGUCAACAUCAGCAAAGACUAACUAUUGAAAAAUUCAAUCAUUUCAGUGUACUUACAGCUGAAUUUUCUCAUCAUGUGACCAACUAUCCACAAAGCCUCAGUGCCAUUAAGAAGUUUUGAGGAAUAUAUUAUUUGGUACUGCCAAAAAAACAUAAUUAAAAGAACGCAUGUAAAUUAUAUUUAUUUUCUAAUUCAAAACUUUUUUUUUAAUGAUUAUUUCACGUCUAAAGUACAUUUGGGGGAAAGGCAGAACUUACAUUAUCCCAAAAGGCAGGUUCCAGCACAACCCAUGAUACACUGACAGAAUUCACAGUAAGAAGGCACAGUAGGGUCACACAAACAGAACCCCGCACUACUGCAGAAUCUCCUUAAUUUCAAUAGGGCCCUACCCACAUAUAAUCAGUUACAGAGUCCGCCUAUGUGGGAGUAACAACAGUGAGCACGGGACCCGUUCCUCCACACACCUGCAAAACAAGAAUGCAGCGAACUGCCCUUCAGGUAGAUCCAUGCUUCUCUUCCAAUUCUGUGUUGUAUCUCCCAAAGCUUAAGAAAAGUUCAGUGAUACACAGCUUAGUAACAGAAGACUGACGUUAAGUUUAAAGAGUCAAUCUGUUCAGUGGGUUUUUCUGCUUUGUUUUUUAGAGAAUAAGCAUAAUGGCUAUUAAAGAAUCACCUUAAGAUCCUGCUACUGCUACCUGGCUUCAGAUCAUUAUUAUUAGAGAAUAAUUUUUUAAUAACGAGCAAGUCCCAGUUCCCUUUUUGAAAAAUGCCACCCACUGUGCUCUUCAUACCCUUCCUAUUGCUCUAGAGACAAAGAAUAGUCAGCGUGGCAAAGUUAAUAGAGAACUGGACAUUACAGGACAGGUUGGAAGGAAACAAUGUGAACGGGACCAGGAGUGAAAACGACUUAACAAAAAAGGGAUGGAAUAAAAGAAACAACGUUACUUUCUUAGCAGGGCAAUAAAAAUGGGAUUUUCAAAACCAUCCAACUUCUAUUGAAGUGAAAGAAUUACAUCAAUUCCAAAUAUGCUUUUAGAAAACCUUUAAGCCACUUAUCUUUAAGCAUUUAACUUUAAGCAUAUGGAGUAUCUAAACUCCGCUCAGCUAAACAACUGAAGUGCUUAAAUUUAAAAAACAAAUGUAAAUCAUCUUGAAAGCAUUCACCCCGUUUGUAAUACCAAGCUUGCAUACAGAUCUGAGCCCCAACUCCUUACCCUGCUUACAUGCUGACUCACACUUGGGCUGGAUCCAGCCUAUUGGUUCUCAGACAGGCAAACCCAAGUACAAAACGUGAGGGGCUAACGUGCAUUCAGACUUCUCUCUCACAAGCUGGACUCGUGCAAGUAUCGUGACUUAGGUACGAGAUUAAUUGUUUGGUGAAGCAGAGUGCAAAUGAUUAAAUGCUUCGAGUUAAUUCGGGGGAGAGGGUCUCAGAAAGAAAACUAAAGAAAGUGCCCGAGGAAGAAAAAAGAAACUGAAAAUUAAAUCUGGAUUAAAAAUAAAUGACCUCUGGGUUAUAUCUCAGUGCACUCUGCCUGAAAACCACUGCUUCUUUUUGGCUUAAGUAUCAAAUCUCAUUUUUAAAUAUGCAAAAUGGUAACUAACUCAGACAAAGGUUAAAUUAGUUCAGUGUUUGCUGACAGUACCGCAGUAAUCCUUAACACAGAGCAUCACUCGGUUAUUGGUGUAAAGGGCUCGCCAUUCCUUCUGCCUUACAAACACACCCGCGCUUCCAGUCCUGCUUUGGUAAAGAGCAGGGUGAGGGUUAAUACCCAAUAUUCCAAUCUCUGUGGUAGCAGCCAUAAAGGGAGGAGGAAAUGUGGAGAUCGUAAGCUGCUAGUGGGGUUCUGUCCCUUUUACUCCUUACUCUACAGUGCAGUUGCUAAAGGAAAACAUAAAUUGAGCCACUGAAAUCAAAACAGUGAACCAACAAAGUUCAGGGACAUCUCUUGGCAUCCUGUGAACUUCUGGUCAUUGUGAUCUGCCUCCUAAACUGUGGAUCAUUGUAUACACCGUUAUUUUAAGCUGUCACCUCUCAAAACUACCAGGAAGCCAGUACCAGUGCUUAACAGCUACAUUCUCAUGUCCUCUCCCACUACUAAUAUCCCACCCUUCACCUACAGCUAUAAAAAAGGAAAUUCUCUCUAUUUAAAAUGCGUGCUUAAUAAUCCCAUACGUGUAAAAAUCAUGACUCCGUGUUGGUACGGAGCUAGAGCAAGGUUAAAGACCUGACUAAGGCAGUGAGUUACUGAUAGAAUUAGUUCCUCUCCAGAUUCAGUUCCCUUUUCACAAAAUGGUUAAACACAAUAACGUUUUGUUCCUUUUAUGAGAAUCAUGAGCAUUACUAACAUUUUAUAAACGUUUUGAAGCUCAGAUUUCAAAAUUUCCCAGAAACUGAGAAACUAGAGAAGCAAAUGAACAAUUUACAUCAUGCUGUCUUAAAAGAAAUGAAUUGAACAGCAUAAAAGCAAACAAAUUAGUGCUAGCUAAAGCAUUUCCAGACCUCUCACUCCUGUAUUAAUUUCAGUAGCAUUUCAUUUAAAUGCAGAAAUACAUAUUUGCAAAGUCUGAGUUUCAGCCUUUCCAACAAUUCCUCACAUUCGACCUGUGCUGUGCUGACUGGUGGUGCUGAUAGAAAUCCUCCUGUGAACACAGCUGAGCACAUGCACAGGACUAAGGCUAAAUCAAGUAAUAAAAAAAUAGCUCAUAAAUUCAGUGUAUCGCUAACAAUUGUUUGGAAAAGUCCAGGAUGGAUAAGAAGAUGAUAAAGCUUGAGAAAGCAACGAGCAAAAUAGCGGGCGGGAAGGUGAGAAAUUAGGCUCUGGCCCCAGCAGUUACCCUACCAAAAACAAUCUAACUUUAAUACCAGUUAAAUAACAGAAUUGAUACAAAGGAAAGAAAAAAUAAUAGAGCAUCCCCUCAAUAAUUUAUAGCCCCAACAACCACACUUAUUUUCUCACCAUUUGACGAGUCCUCUUCAGUGUAAGGCCAAAGUUCGUGGGUGCUGUGGAGAAGAUCACUUGGCAACUGCUCUGCUGUAAUUAAUCCAUAAAGAAUGGGCUUCAGUUUUCACAGAUAACGAACCAGCACAUUUCACAACCACUAACAUGCAGAAGAAUUUUUACAAUGUUUAGAAGUUACAGCGAGGCCGUUUUAGCAAAACUUCACCACAGAACCUUAGUUUAAUAGCAAGUAUUUCCCGAGGCCUCAGGGAUAUGUUCAUGAUGGGUCAGGCCUAUGGCUGUAUUAGAGUCAAUACUGAAGGAAAGCGUAGUUAAGCCCAGCCUUUGGAUUGUACCAGCUGCCUUUAUGCUGUGUUAAACAUCUUAGAUAUUGGGGGGAAAAAAAAAAUAGAUUGAAAGUUGGCUGUUGAAAAACCAGGUAGUCUACACCAAAAAUAUGCUAAAGGUUGUUUAUGGGUGGUUUGGGUUUUUUUUUUCCACUUAGUAUUUUGUAGGGAAUUUAAUAAAGCAGGUGUACAUCCUAAUCUAGCAAAUACUUCCUGCAGUCCUUGGUGCCAAGAGAAGGAUCCCUAGAUCAGCUCUCAGCUGGCAAAUUCAGAACUUAGUUUUCACUGCCACUGCAGUCUAAUGACUGUACAGUAAUAAACGGCGCACUUCAGUCCUUGCUACGUGACAACCUGAAAUGGCCUAAGUAAUGAAUUCCAAAUCCUAUGUUUGUCAGGAUAAAUUGGAGACUUAAUGGCCACAGAAAGAAGCAGAAAAGUCAAAAAUGAAAGGAGAUGUUGAAUACACUUGAUUAUUAGAGUAGAUUAUUAAGCAGAAACUUCAACUGAUAGCAAACUUUCAGAAGAGGUCUGAGGAGAGGCCUUGGUGAAUCUCUAACGGGGAUCCAGCAAAGAAGGCUGGAUAAGCACCAAAAGCAAGGCAGGGCUUAAAUUAGAAAAAUAAAUACAAAAAAAAAAAAAAAAGUUGGAAUUUCCACUGGCCAUGCACACAUAUGCCAUACCAAAACAGGGAACCCAAAUAAUAUGUAGAUGUGCACGUUAUUAUAAUUGCUCCACGUUGGGUAUACCUUGUUGGCCUCCAUUUGGUGUAACUCACUUAGGAGCUGGACCAGUAGAGAGUGGAAUAAUAUGCAAGUACCCAGGCAGACCAAAGAAUCCAGCUACACAGUUACACAGUAGUGACACAAUGCCAGUUUUCAUUACGACAAAUUCCUCUAAUCCUCACGGUUGUAAAAUAAAUCUUAAAAACACAUAGCAAGGUAAUUUGCAAAGUAAUGCGUGCCUGAGUCAAAAGACAGCCUCCAGCUUUCUAACCAUCCCUGACGAGCUGGGAGCUCCUGGGCCAUUCUGGGAGAUCAGUACCUUGCUUUGGUUGUGCCACCUUGCAGACAGACCCCGGCCGUUUGGGAUACCCAAGUGUGAUUCUUGAUCCAUAUAGGGAACUCCCAAGUAUAGGAAGCCGGGGGGAAUGUCAUCUCAGUGGGGUAGGUGAAUAUGAGUCCCUCUCUUCCACUUAAUACUGAUUUUCUAUAGAACUUUAAAUGACAGAUUUGGGGUCUCCAGAUCCUCCCGGGGCCUAAAUCCAGGUUUCCCAAAGAAAUGCCUGGGUCUCCAGACUACAGCCUCGUGUCGGCAGUUUCUCUCACCUGACACAAGAGAAUUUACACAAGUAGGGGAAAAAAGCUAACAUUUCUACAGAUACACUUUUCUCAGGGGCUGGAGCAAGUCUAUGGGAUGAAUACGCCCAGGAGCUAAGGGCCAUCAGGAGCCCAACCAACCACGUAGUGCUUGGAGAACAAAAUACAUGACUUUGACCUUGCCUCACUACUGUAAACACACAACACAUAUAUUGAAGAAAAAGAAAAAAAAAAAAAAACAAAAAAGGCAGAUAAAACUCAAAACAUUCAACUGCACAUGCUCCUCCCCCUGGCAACAGGAGAGCAGAUAACAUGACAAAUGCUGGCCAUGUCACAUGUUACAGCAGUGGAAGAUUCUCUGAGAACGUAAUGACACCCUGUGAGGAGAAGUGCCUACAGUGGGGGGAUUGGCGGCGUGCAGGUAGUGCUUCAGCGAGGAAAGGUGCAAGGAAAGGAGUGCAGCACAGAAACUGCAGCUCUACCCUCUCUUAGCUGCCACAGCAGAUAGGACUUCCACCGUUCUGAUGAGCCCACGUUAUCUGGAACGGAAAUCUGAUCUAAAGAACUGACAUCGCUUUUGUUGAGGCUCAAAAUCCCUCUCCCCUGCCUUCUGUCCUCAGCUGUGCUCCUGCUGUGACUCCUUGGCUUUGCCAGUCACUGAGGAAACAAGCUGACAAUCCUCUCCCAGAUGCUGCAGCCAGAGAGUGCAAUACCCACCUCCUAUUGCAGGGGCUGUUAGACGAGAGCGGCUGCCCUUCCUCGCCGUCAAAUAUUUAACCACCCUGAUCCUAAAAUUAUGGCAAUUGUGCAUUAUUUAGCUUAAACCCCAGCGAUACGAAGUGGGUGAUGCAAACCGAGACUAUUGCAUUGGGUUUACGCUUCGUGCAGCCCUAAGUAAUACUGAGAGCAGUGAUUGUGUAAUACGACUUCCAGCUUCGGUCUGAACAGGGCCAUAACGAAGCACAGAACCACACGCAGGAUUGGGCCUGUGUGUGUCUGCGAGCACGGAUGGGAUAGCGGCGGUGCAGAAACUUCACUGCCUUUAGAAAUCCUUAAUGAGACCUCAGAAAUGCCAUUCGAGAGGACAACAGUGUGAUUCGUAUAAGAGAAUACCACAUCCUGGCAAAGAGGCUGACAUCCUAUCUGCUAGGUCUUAUUUCUGCAUCAUAGUUGGGAAAAAAAAAUGGGUGAAAAAUAGCAACUAGAGUUGCUUUAGGGCAGAACGAUACGUAAUCUAAAUACAGACGAGUGGUAUCGGCAACGCUGUAUUUUUUAUGUAUUUUUUUCAGUGCUCUCAUUGCUAUUUCUACCACAAAAUGCUGCUUUCGUGGGCAAAAAGAAAAAAAAAAAAAAAGAAAAAAAAAAAGAAAAGAAAACCUCCAAGCCGUUGGCUGCCAUUCCUUUCGAUGCUCAUUGAAAACUUCACUCAGGGCAGUUUUAAUCAGCUAAGCCUGAAAGUGUAAAUAUACGGCCAAUCAGUUCUAUUUUCUCCCUUUCAAAAAAAAAAAAAAAA